ensembl:snRNA U6 U6 spliceosomal RNA
GCGCUCGCUUCGGCAGCACAUUUACUAAAAUUGGAACGAUACAGAGAAGAUUAGCAUGGGCCCUGCCCAAGGAUAACGUGCAAAUUCUUGAAGCGUUCCAUAUUUUU